CUGAUUAUCAAGCUACUUUUAAAUAGUGCUGUAUAGUCACUGUGUUCACAGUGGUUUUUAUAAAAGUGCAUUUUCCCAGCUUUGUCUAUGGAUAUUUUUAGAUAUUUGCCGGAGGAUAAUUUAUGGCUUUGUCUUUUGCAGUUAGUCUUGGGAUACAAACUUAGGAGCUUUUGGUGCACAUAACAAUGACAAUGAAGCAAACAUAAAAUGCAGUAAGUGUCUAGUUCAUCUGUUGUCGCUGACAAGGAGUGAGAUGCAGUCCAUUAACGUUCCAAGCUCUCAAUCAUACUAAUCGCAGCAUUCUUUUAUGCCGUUGUAGAGAUUAUAGAUUCUUUGCCAUCCUGCAAGGACGCCUGGGUCACAUUACUGAGAAAAGACGAGUGCUGGGAGUUUGAUGUGUGACGCUGGGAUAAACAGACUGUUUGUCAAUCCAUCACCCUGUGGAUACUAAGCAGUCACUGCGUCCAUUGAUCUUCUGAAAAUGACAAAACGGGGGACUAAUAUGAGCGGACGGCCAGCAUGCUCCUCUGUCCCUUUUCUCUCACUGCCUGCGUCUCCCGCACAACUGCCAACAGCUGUGGGCCACUGGGCAUAACAAGCAGGCUGCAGGCAUUGUUGGGAUCAUGUGAAGAAAGCAGUGCACUACACUUCACUCUCCCCCUGCACUCCUGGUAACAUCAGACUUUGCAUCUGAUGUAUCUGUGCAUGAGAGGACAUACAAACAUCUUGUGAACUCAUCCAUUCAAGGUAAAGCAUUUUACUUGCACAGUAUUUUAUUGUGGAAAAAAAGUAUGAAAUUAUCUGCAAUCCAGUUUACACAGAUGCUAUAAAUUCAAUGUAUAUAUU
rnacentral:lncRNA from 1 species